AGCGCUUGUGACCAGACUUGCGCCCGGUGAAUCACCCAGCUCUCGCGGCUGGGGCACUUUGCCGGCACAGGCCAGCAUCAGCUUGCCGUCGGGGACAAAAGCUUCAGGAACGUAGCUCUCUUCGGGGAGUGUUAUAGCCUGUUGCAUAAUACCCUUCGGCGGGCUGAGGUACGCGCUCCGCAAGGAUGCUGGCGUAAUGGUCAUCAGCGACCCGUCUUGAAAACGGACCA
rnacentral:rRNA from 2 species